UCAGAGUUUUGAUCCUGGCUCAGAUUGAACGCUGGCGGCAUGCCUUACACAUGCAAGUCGAACGGCAGCACGGGUGCUUGCACCUGGUGGCGAGUGGCGAACGGGUGAGUAAUACAUCGGAACAUGUCCUGUAGUGGGGGAUAGCCCGGCGAAAGCCGGAUUAAUACCGCAUACGAUCCACGGAUGAAAGCGGGGGACCUUCGGGCCUCGCGCUAUAGGGUUGGCCGAUGGCUGAUUAGCUAGUUGGUGGGGUAAAGGCCUACCAAGGCGACGAUCAGUAGCUGGUCUGAGAGGACGACCAGCCACACUGGGACUGAGACACGGCCCAGACUCCUACGGGAGGCAGCAGUGGGGAAUUUUGGACAAUGGGCGAAAGCCUGAUCCAGCAAUGCCGCGUGUGUGAAGAAGGCCUUCGGGUUGUAAAGCACUUUUGUCCGGAAAGAAAUCCUUGGCUCUAAUACAGUCGGGGGAUGACGGUACCGAAG
rnacentral:rRNA from 1 species